GACCAGUGAUGUAAUCAUGGCAGUAUAGUGAUCUGUCAGAUCUGGGUUUAUGAUUGGUUUCCUUCUGUAUGAUGGGUAAUCUUGCUAGUGUCAUAGUUAUAUUUCAUUCCUGAAAGGGCCCAGCUACAAUAACACUGACACUACUUUUACAACCACUGUCCUCCUCAGAGUAAUGGGAUGGGACAGGUAGAUGUCAAACAAAGUGUGAAUGUCUGUCUGUUUUUUGUCCGUGUGAUGAAAGACUGUAUAUGUAGCAGUUGGUAAAAAGAUCUAGUCUCUUUGGAGGAUUUGGCAGGUAUGAACUACAAUUUUUGAUAAUCUGAGGGCA